GGAAGAGUUUAGGUUGUGAUUCUAAAAGUCGCGAGUUCGAUUCUCGCUAUUC
rnacentral:tRNA from 1 species